rnacentral:rRNA from 1 species
UACGAAGGGGGCGAGCGUUGUUCGGAGUUACUGGGCGUAAAGGGCGCGUAGGCGGCGCUCCAAGUUAGGCGUGAAAGCCCCGGGCUCAACCUGGGAAUUGCGCUUGAGACUGGAGUGCUCGAGUGCGGAAGAGGUGAGUGGAAUUCCUGGUGUAGCGGUGAAAUGCGCAGAUAUCAGGAGGAACACCGAUGGCGAAGGCAGGUCUCUGGGCCACUACUGACGCUGAGAAGCGAAAGCGUGGGGAGCGAACAGG